AAAAGGAUGGUACAGUCCAUCCAAAGUCGUAGGAUGAAUACCUUACCACCUUUUCAUUUGUUUAUUACUAAUGAAGAUAACAUGCUGGAAUGUUCGCAGACUUAAUAAGCCGGAGAAAUGUUGGGAGCUCAACAGAAUAAUCAAGUUUGCCGCAUGUGAUAUUGUUAUUCUAGUGGAAACGAAAAUUAAACAAUCACGCGUUCAAGCUCAAAAGAAUUUAAUAUGGCCGGACGCAGAACUG
rnacentral:lncRNA from 1 species